CCGUAUGCCAUGACACUGUAGCAUGCAUGCGGAAUCCGCUUAUGUACUCAUGCAGAUGGUAUUCCUUUCCACCAUCAGUAAGAGAUGCAUCAUCGACUUUAUACACAUCAAAAAUUCUUCUAACAAUGUUCAUGAAAUUGCAGUCUACAGUGUUGAACGUAUAUGAGCUAUUGGAAUCAUACUUGGACUUCUUUCACAGAUA
rnacentral:lncRNA from 1 species